GCCUGGGUGGCUCAGUCGGUUGAGCAUCUGACUUUGGCUCAGGUCACAAUCUCACAGUCCGUGAGUUCGAGUCCCACAUCGGGCU
rfam:Felis catus breed Abyssinian Contig213735.1, whole genome shotgun sequence. [26-MAY-2016]